rnacentral:lncRNA from 1 species
GUGCUAAGCUUAGUGCUCUCUCUCCCACCACCAGUGGCAGAGCCACUGUGUGGGGAGAAACACCUUUUUAUCUUGGAGAGGGGCAGCCUUGUUUCUGAGGACAGAUGGGAGCAAAACGGGACAGGUAGGAAGUUUCGUGGUUUCUCGUGUCGCUUCUCCAAAAUAGCCACACUGCUGCCUCCCACUUCCUGCCUGACUCGGCUGGGGUAGAUUUUCUCCUUUAGAGGAUUUGUGUUCUGUGUAUUCCCAGGGAGGCUCGAAGGGAUCUGUUGCCAAAAACAUGCUUGACACUGAAGCCCUGGAGCUUGGCACUGAGGGCCCCAGCUCAGGUUUGGACCACUGGGUUUGCAUCCGGGCUCUGUCUCAUACUGGCUGCGUGACCUUGGGCAAAUGACUUCACUUCUCUGUGCCUCAUCAGUAGGAUGGAGAUAACAACUCUAGCUAUAUCCAGCAGUUACUCUGCAGAUUAAAUGAAUAUGUGUAAAGGGCACAGCCCAGUGUGGGCACAUAGCAACUCUUAAUGAAUCUCUUAAUAAAAAACAGCAAUGUUGUUGUUGAUCUCCAUCCCCUACCUGGAAAACUGUACCAGCCUCCCAGCCACCUUCCCUUUCCCCUGGCUUGCCUGCUCCAGCACAUCCCAGCAUGAUCCGAGAGUGAUAGAAACGUGAAACACAAAUCUGACCCUGCUAUCUGCUGCUUAAAAUCCACCCAUAGCUUCCAGCGUCUAUGGCAGGAAUGAGCAUUCUUUUGCUCUGAAUGGCCAGAUAGUAUUUGAAGCUUUGCCGGGCAUAUAGUCUCUCUUGACUUUGUCAUUGCAGCCUGGAAGCAACCACAGAUAAUAUGUAAAAAAUGGGCGUGGUUGUGUUCCAGUAAAAUUUUAUGUACGAAAACAGGCAGCCGGCUGGAUUUGCCAACCCUUGACCUACAGGAUGAAUCCAGACCCUUAGCUCAGCAUUCCCAGUUCAGCCUGUUCCCGUUAUCUCCAUCCUUCUUCCUCCCCCACCCCUGCUCUUGUGCAGAACAUGUCACACUUUAAUCCUUUGCGUGUGCUGCUCCCUCUUUCUGAGUUUUCCUUCCCUGCCCCCUGAGUGCCCCUUCCCCAUGGCAUUAGGACCUUUACUCUGGGAUUCUGUGGUACCCUGUCUUUAUUUCUACCCUGGUCAUAUAUGCAAGUUCCAUCUGUCUCUCCAUGAGAGGGGCUCCCCUCUAGGCAGGGAUUCGGCCUUCCUCUUCUGUACACCCAGCAGGGUGCUGCUGUAUAGGUUUCUGCAGGUGCUCAGUAAGCAUUUGUUAUUGAACCCAAGGAUCUGCAAGAUGGAUGGUUGGCCUCAGGGAGCUCACAGUCAGCUUAGAAAGCUAGGAUAUGAGCCAGUCAAAAGCCAGCCAGCAAUCCAGGCAGGAAAUGAUGAUGGUCUGUGUGUUUGGCCCUAACUGAUGUCAAGUGGAGAUUCUGAGCUUGAUAGAGGAAGGUGAAGGCAUUUGAGUUGGAUGUUGCAGGGUGGGAAAGAGACUUGCAGAGAUAGGGAGGUCAGGAAGUCUUUCCAAGUUGGGGAAGUCAUAAGAGAAGAGCAGGGCUGACCAGGCCUGGGGGCUUAGGCCUGUAAUCCCAGCUACUUGGGAGGCUGAGGCAGGAGGAUCACCUGAGCCGGAGAGUUUGAGACUAGAAUGGGCAAGGUAGUGAGACCUCAUCUCAAAAACUAGAAAAAUAAAAAAUUUAGCCAGAUGUGGUGGUCAUACUCCUGUAGUCCUAAAUAUUGAGACUGAAGCGGGUGGAUGGCUUGAGCCCAGGAGACGGAGGCUGCAGUGAGCUGUGAUUAUACCACUGCACUGCAGCCUGAGGGACACAGCAAGACCCUGUCUCGAAAAACAAAACAAAACAAAAGAAGAAGAAGAGCAGGCUCAUUGCUGAGCUCAGGGUGGGGAGUGGACAGAGCAGUCUGGCCACGGCUGCAGGCCCUCCCUUGGGAGACAGAGGGGGCCAAUGCUGGAAAGCAGGGCGAAGUUUUCAUCAAUGAGUUGGGGGUGGUGAGGAAGCUUAGACUUUAUCCUGUGAGCCAGAAUUUCUCCAUGUGUGUCCACAUACCCUCCCAUAACAGAAUUACCUUGAGUUUCUUUAAAAUGCAGAUUCCAGGGCUCUGUCCCAUACUGGGGGCCAGGAGGCUGAAGGGGGUCAAGGCCGUGGUCUGUGGGAGGAAGAGGCUGCACCAUGGCUAUGGGUGCACCACAAGUAUUAUUCAGACUGGUGUCACCUGUAGGAAGCCGGGUGAUGCCUUUCCCAGCUGGACUGGGGACAGGUGAGGCGGGAAUGAAUAAUCCUCCCAAAGGGCAAUUGGGAACACCCAAGCUCAAACGUGGCAAGUGACUUGCCCAGGGUCACACUGUCAAUUACUUGCAGGUGUGGGGCUGACCAGUUAUGGAACAGGCUUCCUCUCCCAAUCUCAGGGCCUCGGGUGGUCCUCGAGGUGCCGCAGGUGGAAGAAGAACAGGCCAAGGCAAAUGCCUCCGGUACCCAGCACUGCCUGGUGCACAGUAGUGGUUGAUCAGUAAUUGUUGAACCAAUCAGGGUUUCUGUUUGCUUGAAGGAAAGGGUAGGAGUGGAGGGUGAGUGACUGGGUGAAUGGGUGCUAUGAGGACAAAGGAGAGUGGAGUUUAGAGGUAGCACUAGUGUCGCAAGCCUGAAGGUUUACCAGAGACAGAGGGGUGAAAAGAUGAGUGGGGCACUAAGCAUAUUGAAUGUGAGAGCUGCUGGAAAUGCAGGAUUGGGGCGUGCUGGGUGGGGCAGGUGAUGUGUGCAGCUGUGGAAGCUGCUACCAAGUCAAGGGCUCUUUUGUAAAAGAAGACACUGAACUAAAAGAUGCUUAGAAGCCUGUCCAGUUCCAAAGCCAUUGGCAUCUUCUCUAAUUAAAGAGUGAACUCCAGUUUCUUAUGAUGUGGGAGUAGAAUUUGGCUGGUCUUUAAUAUCUCACAAAGGGUCUCUUUCUCAGGAAGGCAUGUGUGUGAUUUGGGAGAGGUGAAGAUGAGAAGUCUGAAUCCUACCUACUUGGUUCUCUCCCGUGCAUCAUGGAUGUCAGGAAACACUGUUGAUAUCUCCUGUGCACUGUCAAUGUCCCUCUCUGUGUGUCUUUGAAUGGGGAGCAAGGGGCAUAAGCCAGAUCACCCCAGGCGGUGCCGCACUUUAAGAGGUAUCUGGACCAGCCCUCAGGAGCAUGCAGCCCUUGUCAGAGGAACUUUUGAAGAAACUGGGUAACAGAAUACUUGAGAGACAGACUUGCUGUCCUCAACCACCCCAGGGGUUGUCUGGAGAAAAAGGGUCAGAGAUGUUCUGUGUGGUCCUCGGGACAGAAUCAAAACCAAAAUCUCAAAGUACAUCCUACCCUGCCUUUAACUGAACGGGAUAGUCUGCUGUUUGCAAAAAUAUACAUGCCAAGACACGUCCUUUGUGCAGGUGGGGAACAAAGAUGUUGGCUGGGGGCUUAAUUCUACAGCACUGCCCAUUGCCCUGCUGUGGCAUUCAUCAGUGGAGCCCACAUGGUUCCACUUGGGGUGCUCUAAGUUUCCUCCUAGACCCAUGGGUUUGUAUGAGCCAUGCCAACCAUGACACCAUGACCUGUCUGAAAUGGACUCCACCUUGGUCAGAAUGGAACCAUCUAAGCCCUUGGGACUUGCACCCUCUGUUGAGCUUUGAGAUCAUCUCAGAAAUGGUACUCUCCCUGCAGACUCAGAGCCUUUAGACUCAGGGCUGGUGGCCCUUGACACGCCUCUCUCACCACCAGAUAAUUAUAUUUUCAGGCAGCUGUUCCUUGGGGAGGAAUAUUGAGUGCCGUCCCAUGUGCUAUCUGUUUCUGACCAUUCUGAUUCUGCUGCUGACCUCAGACUGCCCAUGUUGUGGCUACCUCUCCCAUCUGAGUCCCUGCACUGCCCAGUCACAGACAUCUGCUGCCGGACGCCACACUGCCCUGAUGGCUCAGAGCGGCCAGCUCCAACCUGCGUGAUCUCACAGGCAUUGUGGCCUGGGCGUCAGGGUGCUGUGAGAAACACCAGGAAACACUGAUAUUUUUAGUGCAAAUGAUGAAAAACGUUAUGCUAAGUGAAAGAAGCCAGACACAAAAGGACAUAUGGCGGGUGAUUCCAUUUUUAUGAAAUGUCCAGAUAAGGCAAAUUUAUAGAGAUGGAAACUAGAUGAAUUAGUGGCUGCCAGGGGCUGGAGGGAAGGGAAUGUGGAGUGAUUGCUAAUGGGUACAGGAUUUCUUUUCAGAGUGAUACAUGUGUUCUGGAAUUACAUCAUUGGGAUGGUUGCACAACCCUGUGAAUUUUAUGGUCCCUUGGAGCUUCCUUGGGCGCUUCCUGGAAGGAGGUGCUGCAUUCACCCUGCCAGGGCCAGGUUGGGACAAUGAGAGGCAGAGACUGCCCCAUUUCUGUGUGGCAAACAAGAAACAUGGUUUAUCGGUUCUUCUGAGGCUUCAGUUGUACCUCAGACCCUAAAGGGCCCAGCUCUGCCCAUCUCUUCCAUGCAAAGAUGAAGGGAGGGGACAGGGGCUGGCACUGUGGUACCCUGAAGGAGGCACUUAGGACGGUGAUGAUUCUAGGCCCUGAUGAAUUCAUUUUUUAAGCCAGCAAACCCUCCUGGUCCCCUGAGUUCAGGAUACCGUAUUUGUCCAAGCAAAGGAUAGCUCAGGAAUACAGAAAUGAGUCUGAUCCUAGGCAGGACUCAGGGAACACCAUGAAUCCUUGAGAACCAUGGGACGGAGAAUCAGAGUCCUGAGCUGUGGAUCCAGCCCAGCCACUUUCCACCUCUCUGAACCUCUGUUUCCUCAUCUGCAAAACGAAGUGAUAAGCCCCUUCCCAGAGGGCUGUUUUGAGGAAAUUCUUAGUUAUGAAGUAUGUUAGACAUUGUGUUUGCAGUCUUAGGGGGCAGUUGGAGCCAUGAACAGGAGGUCUGCAAGGAGGAACUUGGGUGAAAUUAAAUGAGACAGUGGCUACAGGGGCCUUUGGUGAGCUGUAGUCACUGCACUAACGUAAGGCGGCAUUGUUGGGAUUAUGAUCCAUCUGAAACAGGGGUGUAAACACCGGCCAGGGGAAGGCAGAAUGGGUUCUGUCUGAGAUGGAAAGAGGUCCCAGGGAGAAACUGGCAGUGGUGACAAGAAGGAUUUGGCUGAACAAAGAAGGGAAGAUGGGGGACCGGGCAGCAGGCCAAGGGAGGGGCUUGAACCCUGGCAGGAGGCAGAAAGGGUGAGAGGAGCUGGGGCACAGUGUGGGAUUUUCAGAGUUCACCUGGUUGAAUGGAAGAAAGCCUGUAUGAACUGCAAGAGCUUAUUUUUUGGAAAUGCAGCCCCACGAAAUCAUACUUGACAACAUCGUCUUGUUCAGGGAGCACAGAGUGGGAGCUUGGGGGGUCUCAGGGCAAGUUUAAGAAGGCUGAGGAUGAUGACUGCUCCCCUCAGGCACACAAACAGUACAUUCCCUGAGUGCUUUUGAGAGCUCAGAUGUUGUCAAAAAAGGAAGAUCUGGAGGUCAGAUCAGGACCUAGAGUGCGAAUGCCUCACAAGAAAUUGCGCUCGGAAUUCAAAACAUCUAGAAUAAUGUUUGACCAAGCGUCUUGGCCUAUGGCAUAGCCAACUUGACACAAAAUUAACCAUCACUGGUGGGUUUAAAGGACAUUGAGGAGUUUGCCACAUGUCUAGGAGGGAAAGGGCAUUUCAGCCAUUGGGAACGGCGUGUGUUCUGAGAAUUCUCCAGCUCCAUGUGGCUGGAACACACAGAUGGAGGGAAUGAGAGAGGUGAGGCCUCCAGAGCCAUGCCGUGGGGCCUAAACUAGUGGGGAGGCUGAAGGGUCUUAAAAAG